rnacentral:rRNA from 1 species
UACAGAGGUCUCAAGCGUUGUUCGGAUUCAUUGGGCGUAAAGGGUGCGUAGGCGGCGCGGUAAGUCGGGUGUGAAAUUUCGGAGCUUAACUCCGAAACUGCAUUCGAUACUGCCGUGCUUGAGGACUGGAGAGGAGACUGGAAUUUACGGUGUAGCAGUGAAAUGCGUAGAGAUCGUAAGGAAGACCAGUGGCGAAGGCGGGUCUGCUGGACAGUUCCUGACACUGAGGCACGAAGGCCAGGGGAGCAAACGGG